UCUCCGUUGGUGAACCAGCGGAGGGAUCAUUACAGAGUUGAAAAACUCCCAACCCUUUGUGAACCUUACCUUUAAUUGUUGCUUCGGCAGGCAGCCCCAGGGCGGGGCUGUGGCCUGUACAGGUGCCUGCCGAAGGUAUUCAAGCUCUGUUUUAAUAGUAACAUCUGAGAUAAAAACAAAAUAAGUCAAAACUUUCAGCAACGGAUCUCUUGGUUCUGGCAUCGAUGAAGAACGCAGC
rnacentral:misc_RNA from 1 species